UACAGAGGGUGCAAGCGUUGUUCGGAAUUAUUGGGCGUAAAGGGAGUGUAGGCGGCUCAUUAAGUCUUCUGUGAAAUCUACGGGCUCAACCUGUAACGUGCAGAGGAUACUGAUGAGCUUGAGUGUCGGAGAGGAUAGUGGAAUUCCCGGUGUAGAGGUGAAAUUCGUAGAGAUCGGGAGGAACACCGGUGGCGAAGGCGGUUCUCUGGGCCUGUACUGACGCCGAGGAGCGAAAGCGUGGGGAGCGAACAGG
rnacentral:rRNA from 1 species